AGAAACGGGGGUCACACUGUUCAGUGAAAGGGUAGUAUUCGACUGGGCUGAUAAGGAGCCCGCAACAGCGAGUAGGAUUAUCAGCUUACCGUACAUAGUGUAUGAAGUGAAGUGAAAUCGUAUCGUA